rnacentral:lncRNA from 1 species
AUGACUUCUCCUUUGGUACCUGUGUUCUGUACUCCUGGUUUGAAAAUCCCUUCCAGGACAGAUAGUACAGUGUUACCCAAGUCACAAGAGAUAAACAAACUGCUUCUUCCUAAACAUACAGAAACGCCACCACCUCCAGAUUUUGAAACAAGAUGGCUCAAGGUAAAGCCAGGGGAAAAAGUUGGGUCAGUGACAGAAAGUGAUGCAAAAGAAAACCAAACCAUAGAAGAUAGCAUUCCUCCUACUGUGAGCUCCGAUGAGUAUCUUAAGCGUUUGGGAGACCCUUCUCCUCCUAAAAUAAAACAGUACGACCAUUUGCUCAGUACUCCUCCACCUCCAGAAAUAACAAGGAUACCAGAUGAUGUUCUACAGAUUCUGUCAAAGUAUAAUCAUAAAGUAGUAGACUCUUCUAAAGACAAGAAAAUGGAGACUAAGGCAGGAGGCACUACAAGAUUUGAAAGUGAUUCCACUGAUUACUGCAACAAAGAGAACAGAGCCUGUCCUGUUGCUUUCAAGCCAAGCGUUUGAAAUCAAGCUGAAGACCAUAUUUCACUUUCAUGGACCUUAUCACUGAAUCACAGAAAACUCAAAAAGCAAAAAGAAAUACCGGGAGUAAAGACUCACAAAAGAAAAGUGUUUUGUUUUCCUGGAGAACACUUGAUAUGGAUUAAUUCAAACUAAUGAUUUUAUGCAUAAUGUUUUAUUAAAAUUAGUGACAAAAUAGAUCUUAUUUUAUAUUUUUUAAUAUUGCUUCAAAGAGGACUAAGGUUGUGUAUUAUGUAAUACCUCAGUUGUUUCAUGUGAUUCUUGUGUUUGCUGUGUACAUGUGUGUGUAUAUACAUCUGCAGUAGGUUGUAGAGAAAUGUAACUAAGUUGCAAUAAAAGGAAAGUCCAUUACGCUGCCCA